rnacentral:rRNA from 1 species
AAGAAUCUUGCGCAAUGGGCGGAAGCCUGACGCAGCGACGCCGCGUGAGGGAUGAAGGUCUUCGGAUUGUAAACCUCUUUCAGUAGGGACGAAUUUAGACGGUACCUGCAGAAGAAGCACCGGCCAACUACGUGCCAGCAGCCGCGGUAAUACGUAGGGUGCGAGCGUUGUCCGGAAUUAUUGGGCGUAAAGAGCCCGUAGGCGGUUCGUCGCGUCGAAUGUGAAAACCCGGGGCUCAACUCCGGGCCUGCAUUCGAUACGGGCGGACUAGAGUUCGGUAGGGGAGACUGGAAUUCCUGGUGUAGCGGUGAAAUGCGCAGAUAUCAGGAGGAACACCGGUGGCGAAGGCGGGUCUCUGGGCCGAUACUGACGCUGAGGAGCGAAAGCGUGGGGAGCGAA